rnacentral:rRNA from 1 species
GUGAUAUACAGUUACUUGGAUAACUGCGGUAAUUCUGGAGCUAAUACAUGCACAAAACCCCCGACUUCGAAGGGGUGCUUUUUUUAAUCAAAACCAAACGGCUUCGGCUGUCUCUUGGUGACUCUGAAUAACUUUGGGCUGAUCGCAUUGCCCUGGCCCGGCGACAUUUCCUUCCAAGGUGUGCCCUAUCAACUGUCGACUGGGGGAUAAACGCCCACAGUGGUUUUGACGGGUAACGGGGAAUCAGGGUUCGAUUCCGGAAAGGGAGCCUUAAAAACGGCUACCACAUCCAAGGAAGGGAGCAGGCACGCAAAUUACCCAAUGAACGAAGGUCGAGGUAGUGACCAAAAAUAACAAUACCGGACUCUUUCGAGGCCCUGUAAUUGGAAUGAGUACACUUUAAAACCGUUCCCGAGGAUCUAUUGGAGGGCAAGUCUGGUA